AUACGAGAGCUGGCUGGGAUUCCAGGACAUUCUGCCAAUCCAGGAAUACACUUGAAACAAAACAAGGAAAUAAGAUCUGCACUGGUUAAGCUUCAAACUUCAGUCUAAAAGGAAAGUAGUGAAUUUUUACUUUUGUCACAUAGAAAGUGACUAUUUAAUGUGCCAUCUUUUUUCCCCUUUCUCAUUUCCCCCCAAUACACUUGACAAUGAAUUAAACGUUUUGAUUCUGCUCUUUCAAUUAUUCCUCUGGAAACUUUAAUAUAUAAUAGUUGUUUGUUUUUUUCCAGGCAGCUCCCUGCUCCCUCCUCCAGAUUAUUCCUGCCAUGUGGUGUUGCUCCUGCCUUGAAAUCUUCUAAAGAAGUGUUUUCAAGAGUCUGGAACAGAGCUGUGCCUGCUCACUGGUCAUAACUGAUCUAUGACCAGAAUUUCACUACCUGCAUAUGUAAGCACUGAGGAAGCAAAAAGGUAUAAAAGAAUGAGCCACGCACUCUGGCCUUGCUUAUCUGUUCAGCGUAGUUCAAAUGAACAAGAAGGAACUUCCAGGCAUUUGAAUAGCUCUUUCACCUGCAGAGUACAUAAGCAGAAGCAGACUGCACAGUGGCAUCACCUCCUGCCUUUUCCCUUGGAUGAUUGGUCUACUAUGUUGCCUACUGGCCUCCCAUGCCUGCAUUGUUCUUGUAACACAAGCAGCAAUAUACAUAUACAUAAGCCUAGAAAACAGUUCCUCUCCUACCAGUGACUUACUUGAAACAUUGCUGAAAUACGUAUGCAAUGAUUCAGAUAAGAAACAUCUCACUGGUUAGUAGAAGUUUUCUUGGCUUUGAGAGGAGCUUGGCUUUAUGUCAAGAAAACUUUAACCUCAUUGGAGAGGCUCACCUCCUUACAUAAUUAUAUUUCUGCUUUGCAACCACUGGCUAUUGAUUGAUAUGGAGAUCAGAUCCAAGCCAGCUCUGACAUCAUCAAAAGACUGGGAUGUGUGACCUGGCCCAGAGAUGUUCUUUUGUAUGCUCAUUUCCUUGGUGUUCCUAAAGUCAAGAAGAAUCAAGAACGGGGCAUUUUGUACAAAGCUGGGCUCUGACUCACUCUUAAAGUCCCAAACCACAAAGCUUCAUUACUGACAAACAGGAGAGUGAAGCACAUUCUUGAAUCUGAAGUCUUAUCUACGUUAUCAAGCUUGUAUCUCUCCAAUAUACUGUUGAAAAGUG